rnacentral:misc_RNA from 1 species
UCUCCGUAGGUGAACCUGCGGAGGGAUCAUUACUGAGUGAUGGCUUCGGUCCGACCUCCAACCCUUUGUGAACCAAACUUGUUGCUUCGGGGGCGACCCUGCCGCUUCGGCGGUGCGGCGCCCCCGGGGUCAAUCAAACACUGCAUUCUCUGCGUCGGAGUUAAAGUAAAUUAAACAAAACUUUCAACAACGGAUCUCUUGGUUCCAGCAUCGAUGAAGAACGCAGC